rnacentral:rRNA from 1 species
CCUACGGGAGGCAGCAGUGAGGAAUAUUGGUCAAUGGACGAGAGUCUGAACCAGCCAAGUAGCGUGAAGGAUGACUGCCCUAUGGGUUGUAAACUUCUUCUAUAUGGGAAUAAAACGUUCCACGUGUGGGAUUUUGUAUGUACCAUAUGAAUAAGCAUGGGCUAACCCCGUGCCAACCGCCGCGGUAAUACGGAGGAUCCGAGCGUUAUCCGGAUUUAGUGGGUUUAAAGGGAGCGUAGGUGGAUUGUUAAGUCAGUUGUGAAAGUUUGCGGCUCAACCGUAAAAUUGCAGUUGAAACUGGCAGUCUUGAGUACAGUAGAGGUGGGCGGAAUUCGUGGUGUAGCGGUGAAAUGCUUAGAUAUCACGAAGAACUCCGAUUGCGAAGGCAGUUCACUGGACUGCAACUGACACUGAGGCUCGAAAGUGUGGGUAUCAAACAGGAUUAGAUACCCGAGUAGUC